AGUGAACGCUGGCGGUAGGCCUAACCCAUGCAAGUCGAACGAGUGGCGGACGGGUUAGGAAUACACCGGAAUCUACUCUGUCGUGGGGGAUAACGUAGGGCAACUUACGCUAAUCCCGCAUACGAUUGACUGCGCCGAGGUCGGAUUAGCUAGUUGGCGGGGUAACGGCCCACCAAGGCGACGAUCCGUAGCUGGUAUGAGUGGAUGAUCAGCCAAACUGGAACUGAGACACGGUCCAGACUCCUACGGGAGGCAGCAGUGGGGAAUAUUGGACAAUUGGCGCAAGCCUGAUCCAGCCAUACCGCGUGGGUGAAGAAGGCCUUCGGGUUGUAAAGCCCUUUUGUUGGGAAAGCGGUACCCAAAGAAUAAGCACCGGCUAACUUCGUGCCAGCAGCCGCGGUAAUUC
rnacentral:rRNA from 1 species